rnacentral:lncRNA from 1 species
UAGGAGGUUCGGAGUCUAUUUUGAGGGGGAGGCAGUCACCAGAUUAUCACAUUCUGACACCAUCAACUAUCACACACUGCACCACAUGGGUUUUUCAAAGACUAAUGGCGAUUGAUCAAAGGGUGUUGAGGAGAGAGCAAAGGAGAGAGUAGAGGAGGAGGGACCAUCUUCACCUCCUCGUGAUCACAGAGCAUCUCCUGAUAUUCAGUUUGUGUCUGAUCAUGAGACUGAUCCCUCAGAGUCAGUGAGGAGGGAUGCUUCUGUACC